AAACCGAGUCUUAACCGGGCGUUAAGUUGCAGGGUAUAGACCCGAAACCCGGUGAUCUAGCCAUGGGCAGGUUGAAGGUUGGGUAACACUAACUGGAGGACCGAACCGACUAAUGUUGAAAAAUUAGCGGAUGACCUGUGGCUGGGGGUGAAAGGCCAAUCAAACCGGGAGAUAGCUGGUUCUCCCCGAAAGCUAUUUAGGUAGCGCCUCGUGAAUUCAUCUCCGGGGGUAGAGCACUGUUUCGGCUAGGGGGCCAUCCCGGCUUACCAACCCGAUGCAAACUGCGAAUACCGGAGAAUGUUAUCACGGGAGACACACGGCGGGUGCUAACGUCCGUCGUGAAGAGGGAAACAACCCAGACCGCCAGCUAAGGUCCCAAAGUCAUGGUUAAGUGGGAAACGAUGUGGGAAGGCCCAGACAGCCAGGAUGUUGGCUUAGAAGCAGCCAUCAUUUAAAGAAAGCGUAAUAGCUCACUGGUCGAGUCGGCCUGCGCGGAAGAUGUAACGGGGCUAAACCAUGCACCGAAGCUGCGGCAGCGACACUGUGUGUUGUUGGGUAGGGGAGCGUUCUGUAAGCCUGUGAAGGUGUGUCGUGAGGCAUGCUGGAGGUAUCAGAAGUGCGAAUGCUGACAUAAGUAACGAUAAAGCGGGUGAAAAGCCCGCUCGCCGGAAGACCAAGGGUUCCUGUCCAACGUUAAUCGGGGCAGGGUGAGUCGACCCCUAAGGCGAGGCCGAAAGGCGUAGUCGAUGGGAAACGGGUUAAUAUUCCCGUACUUGGUGUUACUGCGAAGGGGGGACGGAGAAGGCUAUGUUGGCCGGGCGACGGUUGUCCCGGUUUAAGCGUGUAGGUGUGUGUUCCAGGUAAAUCCGGUUCACUUUAACACUGAGGCGUGACGACGAGGCACUACGGUGCUGAAGCAACAAAUGCCCUGCUUCCAGGAAAAGCCUCUAAGCAUCAGGUAACAUCAAAUCGUACCCCAAACCGACACAGGUGGUCAGGUAGAGAAUACCAAGGCGCUUGAGAGAACUCGGGUGAAGGAACUAGGCAAAAUGGUGCCGUAACUUCGGGAGAAGGCACGCUGACACGUAGGUGAAGUGAUUUACUCAUGGAGCUGAAGUCAGUCGAAGAUACCAGCUGGCUGCAACUGUUUAUUAAAAACACAGCACUGUGCAAACACGAAAGUGGACGUAUACGGUGUGACGCCUGCCCGGUGCCGGAAGGUUAAUUGAUGGGGUCAGCGCAAGCGAAGCUCCUGAUCGAAGCCCCGGUAAACGGCGGCCGUAACUAUAACGGUCCUAAGGUAGCGAAAUUCCUUGUCGGGUAAGUUCCGACCUGCACGAAUGGCGUAAUGAUGGCCAGGCUGUCUCCACCCGAGACUCAGUGAAAUUGAACUCGCUGUGAAGAUGCAGUGUACCCGCGGCAAGACGGAAAGACCCCGUGAACCUUUACUAUAGCUUGACACUGAACAUUGAGCCUUGAUGUGUAGGAUAGGUGGGAGGCUUUGAAGUGUGGACGCCAGUCUGCAUGGAGCCGACCUUGAAAUACCACCCUUUAAUGUUUGAUGUUCUAACGUGGACCCGUUACCCGGGUUGCGGACAGUGUCUGGUGGGUAGUUUGACUGGGGCGGUCUCCUCCUAAAGAGUAACGGAGGAGCACGAAGGUUGGCUAAUCCUGGUC
rnacentral:rRNA from 1 species